rnacentral:tRNA from 1 species
UCGGGAGCUCAGUUGGGAGAGCGUUAGACUACAAAUCGAAAAGUCUCUGUUCGAUCCCGGGUUUCGAG